rnacentral:rRNA from 1 species
AACGGCCGCGGUAUCCUAACCGUGCGAAGGUAGCGUAAUCACUUGUUCUUUAAAUGAGGACUAGUAUGAAUGGCACCACGAGGGUUAAACUGUCUCCUUUUUUUAAUCAGUGAAACUAAUCUCCCCGUGAAGAAGCGGGGAUUCUUUUAUAAGACGAGAAGACCCUAUGGAGCUUUAAACAAGUUAACACCUGCUACUAAUCNNCUCACUUUCCUGAACCACCACAUUAAGUAUAGCACCUCUGAUUAACAGUUUUCGAUUGGGGUGAUCAUGGAGCAAAAAUCAACCUCCACGACGAAAAGGAACACCUCCUUGAGCCAAAAGCUACAACUUUAAGCACUAAAAAACUAACGCACUUUGACCCAAUUCUUUGAGCAACGAACCAAGUUACCCUAGGGAUAACAGCGCAAUCCACUUUAAGAGCCCCUAUCGACAAGUGGGUUUACGACCUCGAUGUUGGAUCAGGGUAUCCCAGUGGUGCAGCCGCUACUAAAGGUUCGUUUGUUCAACGAUUAAAACCCUACGUGAUCUGAGUUCAGACCGGAGUAAUCCAGGUCAGUUUCUAUCUAUAAAGGGCUUUUUCUAGUACGAAAGGACCGAAAAAGCAUGGCCUAUAACCCAUCAAGCCAUAUAAAUUACUAUUGUUCCCAACUUAAAUAGAAGUAAACCUACCACUUAUCUCGAUAAAAGAGAAGUUAACGUAGCAUAACCUGGCCUUGCAG